UGAAACCGGAGCGAUUCCACGAUCGUGC
rnacentral:sRNA from 1 species